AGCUCCACGAGCAUGUACGUAAGUUGUUGCAGUUAAAAAGCUCGUAGUUGGAUCUCAGGCCUGUGACCGGUGGUCCGCUCGAUACGGGUGUGCACUGCCGUGUCCGGUCUACGUCUGGUUUCAAUCUAUAGUGCUCUUAACCGGGUGCUAUAGAAUGCCAGAAAGUUUACUCUGGAAAAAUUAGAGUGCUUAAAGCAAGCCGUUGUGCUUGAAUACUGUUGCAUGGAAUAAUGGAAUAGGACCUCGGAUCUAUUUUGUUGGUUUUCGGAGUCGAGGUAAUGAUUAAGAGGGACAGACGGGGGCAUUCGUAUUGCGCCGUUAGAGGUGAAAUUCUUGGAUCGGCGCAAGACGAACAACUGCGAAAGCAUUUGCCAAGGAUGUUUUCA
rnacentral:rRNA from 1 species